AAUCUCACCCCCAAGAGAUGUCAUUAUUAGCCGUAUGAUAUAGAUCCUUUCUGGGUUCUUUACUUUGAUGUAUCUGCAAAUAUACAUAUACACCCCCUGUGAUUUCCCCAAAUGUGGGAAACUCGACUGCAUAAUUUGUGGUAGUGGGGGACUGCGUUCGCGCUCUCCCCUG